rnacentral:rRNA from 1 species
GGGAAUAUUGGACAAUGGGCGCAAGCCUGAUCCAGCAAUGCCGCGUGGAUGAAGAAGGUCUUCGGAUUGUAAAGUCCUUUCGGCGGGGACGAUGAUGACGGUACCCGCAGAAGAAGCCCCGGCUAACUUCGUGCCAGCAGCCGCGGGAAUACGAAGGGGGCUAGCGUUGCUCGGAAUGACUGGGCGUAAAGGGCGCGUAGGCGGAUUGGUCAGUCAGAUGUGAAAUUCCUGGGCUUAACCUGGGGGCUGCAUUUGAUACGUGCGGGCUGGAGUGUGAAAGAGGGUCGUGGAAUUCCCAGUGUAGAGGUGAAAUUCGUAGAUAUUGGGAAGAACACCGGUGGCGAAGGCGGCGACCUGGUUCAUUACUGACGCUGAGGCGCGAAAGCGUGGGGAGCAAACA